rnacentral:rRNA from 1 species
GUUGUUGCAGUUAAAAAGCUCGUAGUUGGAUUUCUGGAUGGAGCGACCGGUCGGGCAUUAAUUUGUCUGCACUGGAGUCGGUUCCGUCCAUCCUCUUGGAAAGUGCGUGGGGCAUUAAGUUGUCUGGCGUAUGAUCCAAGUCGUUUACUGUGAAAAAAUUAGAGUGUUUAAAGCAGGCCUUCGCCUUGAAUACAUUAGCAUGGAAUAAUAAGAUAGGACUUUGGUCUAUUUUGUUGGUUUGCAGACCGAAGUAAUGAUUAAUAGGGAUAGUUGGGGGUAUUUAUAUUCCGAUGUCAGAGGUGAAAUUCUUAGAUUUUCGGAAGAUAAACUUAUGCGAAAGCAUUUACCAAGGAUGUUUUCAUUAAUCAAGAACGAAAGUUAGGGGAUCGAAGAUGAUUAGAUACCAUCGUAGUCUUAACCAUAAACUAUGCCGACUCAGGAUUGGUGAACGUUGAUUUAAAUGACUUCAUCAGCACUGUAUGACAAAUCAAAGUCUUUGGGUUCCGGGGGGAAGUAUGG